GGAAAGGUGAAAAGCACCCCGGAAGGGGAGUGAAACAGUUCCUGAAACCGUGUGCCUACAAGUAGUUAGAGCCCGUUAAUGGGUGAUAGCGUGCCUUUUGUAGAAUGAACCGGCGAGUUACGAUUUGUUGCAAGGUUAAGCGGAAAAAGCGGAGCCGUAGCGAAAGCGAGUCUGAAUAGGGCGCAUAAGUAACAGGUCGUAGACCCGAAACCAGGUGAUCUACCCAUGUCCAGGAUGAAGGUAAGGUAAUACUUACUGGAGGUCCGAACCCACGCACGUUGAAAAGUGCGGGGAUGAGGUGUGGGUAGCGGAGAAAUUCCAAUCGAACUUGGAGAUAGCUGGUUCUCUCCGAAAUAGCUUUAGGGCUAGCCUCGAGGUAAAGAGUCAUGGAGGUAGAGCACUGUUUGGACUAGGGGCCCUUCUCGGGUUACCGAAUUCAGAUAAACUCCGAAUGCCAUGUACUUAUACUCGGGAGUCAGACUGCGAGUGAUAAGAUCCGUAGUCGAAAGGGAAACAGCCCAGACCACCAGUUAAGGUCCCCAAAUAUAUGUUAAGUGGAAAAGGAUGUGGGGUUGCUUAGACAACCAGGAUGUUGGCUUAGAAGCAGCCACCAUUGAAAGAGUGCGUAAUAGCUCACUGGUCGAGUGACCCCGCGCCGAAAAUGUACCGGGGCUAAACAUAUUACCGAAACUGUGGAUGAACCUCUUUAGAGGUUCGUGGUAGGAGAGCGUUCUAAGGGCGGUGAAGUCAGACCGGAAGGACUGGUGGAGCGCUUAGAAGUGAGAAUGCCGGUAUGAGUAGCGAAAGAAGGGUGAGAAUCCCUUCCACCGAAUAUCUAAGGUUU
rnacentral:rRNA from 1 species